CGGUAAUUCCAGCUCCAAUAGCGUAUAUUAAAGUUGUUGCAGUUAAAAAGCUCGUAGUUGGAUUUCUGGGUCAAGCUCCUGGUCCGCCGCUAGUCGGUGCAGACUGUGUGCAGCGUUGGCUCAUCCUUGUGGGAAAGGCAGUGCGUCGUUCAUUCGUCAGCUGUCGGAACCGCAUCUUUUACUGUGAAAAAAUUAGAGUGUUCAAAGCAGGCUUACGCUGUGAAUACAUUAGCAUGGAAUAAUAAGAUAGGACUUUGGUUCUAUUUUGUUGGUUGGAGGCCAAGGUAAUGAUUAAUAGGGAUAGUUGGGGGUAUUCAUAUUUAAUUGUCAGAAGUGAAAUUCUUGGAUUUAUGAAAGAUGAACUUAUGCGAAAGCAUUUACCAAGGAUGUUUUCAUUAAUCAAGAACGAAAGUUAGGGGAUCGAAGAGGAUUAGAUACCCUCGUAGUCUUAACCAUAAACUAUGCCGACUCGGGAUUGGAGGGCGUAUAUCAAUGAGCCUUUCAGCACCGUAUGAGAAAUCAAAGUCUUUGGGUUCCGGGGGGAGUAUGGUCGCAAGGCUGAAACUUAAAGGAAUUGACGGAAGGGCACCACCAGGAGUGGAGCCUGCGGCUUAAUUUGACUCAACACGGGGAAACUCACCAGGUCCGGACAUAGUAAGGAUUGACAGAUUGACAGCUCUUUCUUGAUUCUAUGGGUGGUGGUGCAUGGCCGUUCUUAGUUGGUGGAGUGAUUUGUCUGGUUGAUUCCGUUAACGAACGAGAUCUCCGCCUGCUAAAUAGGAUCGCUAACCGUCUUAGGUUGGCGGUGAACUUAUUAGAGGGGCACUCGGCGUUUAGUCGAGGGAAGUUCGAGGCAAUAUCAGGUCUGUGAUGCCAUUAGAUGUUCUGGGCCGCACGCGCGCUACAUUGAUUAGUCCAACGAGUUUAUCACCUUGGUCGAGAGGCCUGGGUAAUCUUGCAAUUCGAAUCGUGAUGGGGACUGGUCCUUGUAAUUCCUGGCCAUGAACGAGGAAUUCAUAGUAAACUCGAGUCAUCACCUCGCAUUGAUUACGUCCCUGCCCUUUGUACACACCUCCCGUCGCACCUACCGAUUGAAUGGUCCGGUGAAAUGUUCGGAUCGCGGCCUGGCCCUUUUUUGGGACGACUUACCAAAGAGUUGACUAAACCUUGCCAUUUAGAGGAGAGGUGAAGUCAUAGCAAGGUAACCGUAAGGGU
rnacentral:rRNA from 1 species